rnacentral:misc_RNA from 1 species
CAACAUUGAUCAACAUGAUUAUGAUGUACGUUUGAGAGCUGCUCGGAAGUUUUUAAAAGAUGGCGAUAAGGUUAAGGUCAUAGUGAACUUGAAAGGUCGUGAAAAUGAUUUCAGAAAUAUUGCUAUUGAGCUUAUCAGACGUUUCCAGAAUGAUGUUGGGGAGCUUGCAACCGAGGAGAGCAAGAACUUCAGGGAUAGGAAUAUAUUUAUUACUUUGGUGCCAAAUAAGGCUGUUCUACAGAAAACGCAGGAG